AUGGGUUUAGCUCUAUUGCACCAUGGCUAACAUGCAGCUACUGAGUUUUCUUUUAAAUUAGGCAUUUGCUAGUUCAGCCAAUGCCUUACAGCAGAACAAUCCCUGUUUUUUCCUUACAGCAACCCAUAAACAAGCUACACACCCUUGACUUGCAAAGCUGGAGUCAUUUCGUUCCUCUUAGUGUUUCAAGCACACACCAGCCACUGCAGUAAGUCAUGUGAGAAUGUUUUGAAUUCUUUAUAAAAGCACAAUCUGCGCUGUCUCUCCCCAUCUCUUACUAAGAAACAUGUGAUUUGAAAAGAGUACUGUGUCUCCACGGAGGAGUUGUCACGCAUGACAUUUAGUUGCAAGACAAUUGUUCUGACCCUCUGCUUUGUUCACAGAACGUCACCUUCUCUCUGUGACUUGCAGACGUCAAAGUGUUGUUUACUGACUGACUUGCUGGGCUGAGGGAAGUAAAACAAACAAACGGACCAAAACUGCUGAUGCCACAAUUUAGUCUUCUCACGGGUGUCUGAAGUUUUUGCAAGAGGAAUGUGAGGCUUCAGUGUUCUCCUUUUGAAUGAGUACUGAAGACAACCAAUCUUUCAUUGUUGUUCUGUGUUUUCCAAUCCUGUACUGAUCAACAGUUCUCAGACAUUGCAUUGUCAAGUUAUCCUGGUGAACAUUUAUUUAUUGUGCUCAUUCUAAAG